rnacentral:rRNA from 1 species
AGAGUUUGAUCAUGGCUCAGGAUGAACGCCGGCGGUGUGCCUAAUACAUGCAAGUCGAACGCGUUUGGCCCAACUGAUUGAACGUGCUUGCACGGACUUGACGUUGGUUUACCAGCGAGUGGCGGACGGGUGAGUAACACGUAGGUAACCUGCCCCAAAGCGGGGGAUAACAUUUGGAAACAGAUGCUAAUACCGCAUAACAAUUUGAAUCGCAUGAUUCAAAUUUGAAAGAUGGCUUCGGCUAUCACUUUGGGAUGGACCUGCGGCGCAUUAGCUUGUUGGUAGGGUAACGGCCUACCAAGGCUGUGAUGCGUAGCCGAGUUGAGAGACUGAUCGGCCACAAUGGAACUGAGACACGGUCCAUACUCCUACGGGAGGCAGCAGUAGGGAAUCUUCCACAAUGGGCGCAAGCCUGAUGGAGCAACACCGCGUGAGUGAAGAAGGGUUUCGGCUCGUAAAGCUCUGUUGUUAGAGAAGAACGUGCGUGAGAGCAACUGUUCACGCAGUGACGGUAUCUAACCAGAAAGUCACGGCUAACUACGUGCCAGCAGCCGCGGUAAUACGUAGGUGGCAAGCGUUAUCCGGAUUUAUUGGGCGUAAAGCGAGCGCAGGCGGUUUGAUAAGUCUGAUGUGAAAGCCUUUGGCUUAACCAAAGAAGUGCAUCGGAAACUGUCAGACUUGAGUGCAGAAGAGGACAGUGGAACUCCAUGUGUAGCGGUGGAAUGCGUAGAUAUAUGGAAGAACACCAGUGGCGAAGGCGGCUGUCUGGUCUGCAACUGACGCUGAGGCUCGAAAGCAUGGGUAGCGAACAGGAUUAGAUACCCUGGUAGUCCAUGCCGUAAACGAUGAGUGCUAGGUGUUGGAGGGUUUCCGCCCUUCAGUGCCGCAGCU